rnacentral:lncRNA from 1 species
UAAAAUAUCUUUCUACGUUAAUUUGAAAUCUCCAAAGAAACUUUCAUUGAAAAUUUAUCUACACUUCUUCACUUUUCUUUUCGCUAUUAUUUUAGAUUUUUUAGUAAUAUGAUUAUGUGAUUUUGGUCUAUCAAAUUGUAGUUAUUAUGAUUAAGUAUUUCAACUUUUUAUCUUUCGAAACUAGGUCCUUCUCAAUUUCAUAGAUACCAAGGAAGUCAUCAUGUAGAGGGACCUAACUAUAAAUAAGCAAGAAAUAAGAAGUAAAAAUAGCAUCAAGUUUUGAUUUUAAUUAUUUAAGGGUUGAUUGAAUUUUGGUGUAUACUGGAACCAAAACAAACACUGAAAGCUUUUGCUGUUUUAUAUUAUUUGCAAGGCUGAUUUUGAAGAUGCACUGUCACCCAGCUGGGAAAAUGUUAUGAGAGGGCAAGUGAACUUGAAGGAUGCUGUUGAUGGGACCAUAAGCUUUCAUGACAAAGUAAGAAACAGGGUUUACAAGCUCAGUGAUGACACAGCAAAGCUUUUUGUGCGACCAAGAGGUUGGCACCUACCCGAGGCACAUAUAUUCAUUAUGGUGAACCUGCAACCGGUUGCCUUGUUGAUUUUGGCCUCUUUUUCUACCACAAUCACUCAGAAUUUCGGCGCACUCAAGGUGCAGGCUUUGGCCCUUUCUUUUAUCUUCCUAAAAUGGAGCAUUCAAGGUAAGAACUAUGUAUUAAGAACCCUCUAUAACAAAGGUCAAAUUCUAGUAAAAUUAACCAUUUCAGUCAAAAACCAACGAAAAUUGCAUGAUAUAUGUAGAUUUUCCGAAAUUCUAACUCUGAUUUGAGAACCAUAUAAAAAACAUUUUAAUGACUUUGUCGAAGUUUGUCUUAUAUUAGUGAAGAGUAACAUCAGAAGUUUGUGAUUGCAGGGAAGCUAAGAUAUGGAACAGCGUGUUUGAGAAGGCUGAGAAUGUAGCAGGCAUCGAAAGAGGAAGCAUAAGGGCGACGGUUCUGAUAGAAACACUUCCUGCAGUGUUUCAGAUGAAUGAAAUUCUGUAUGAGCUGAAGGAGCACUCGGUGGGUCUGAACUGUGGGCGAUGGGAUUACAUUUUCAGUUAUGUGAAGACCUUCCAAGCUCACCCAGAUCGCCUCCUACCAGAUAGGGUGCAGGUUGGCAUGACUCAGCACUUCAUGAAGAGUUACUCUGAUCUCCUCAUCAGGACCUGCCACAGGCGCGGUGUGCACGCUAUGGGAGGAAUGGUAUGUAAUGGAACUACUCUGAUUCACAUGAAUAUUUGUUUUCAAGCACUUCUAUAACCUCUAAGCAAAAGGGUUUAUAUAGAUUUAAACGUUGAAGUUGUUCAACAGGCCGCGCAGAUUCCAAUCAAAGAGGACCCAGUGGCUAAUGAGUUAGCACUGGAACUUGUGAGGAAGGACAAGCUUAGAGAAGUGAAUGCAGGGCACGAUGGGACUUGGGCUGCACACCCUGCUCUCAUUCCAGCUUGCAUGGAGGUUUUCAACAACAAAAUGGGCAAUGCUCCUAACCAGAUACAUACAAACAAACGUGAAGAUGCUGAAAACAUAACCGAGCAAGACCUAUUGCAGGUACCAAGAGGAUCCCGCACCAUGGAAGGUCUCAGAUUGAACACAAGGGUGGGGAUUCAGUACGUGGCAGCAUGGCUGAGUGGAAGCGGUUCUGUGCCGCUUUACAACCUGAUGGAAGAUGCUGCGACUGCUGAGAUUAGCCGGGUGCAGAACUGGCAGUGGCUCAAGUAUGGUGUGGAAGUGAAUGGGGAUGAAGUUGGAGUGAAAGUGAACAGAGAAGUUUUUGGUAGGGUGGUUGAAGAAGAGAUGGCAAGGAUUGAGAAGGAAGUGGGAAGAGAGAAGUUCAGAAAGGGGAUGUAUAAGGAGGCUUGCAAGAUCUUCACACGCCAAUGCACCUCCCCAACACUUGAUGAUUUUCUUACUCUGGAUGCCUAUAAUUACAUAGUCCUGCAUCACCCCAAGGAAUCAUCAAAACUUUGAACUGAGAAAAGGGUUGCUUCGUUAUGCUUAGUUAUUGGAUCAUUUGAAUUCUGUCUCGUCUACAUAACUCCUCCUUCUCUUAUUUUCAGUUCAUCAGUUUAUGGAAAGAGACAUUCUAUAUGAUUUUUAUUUUUCAACUCAAUUAAGAUAUUUUAAAACAGAUAGACAGAGUUUUUUAAUAUAUAUAUAUAUAUAUGUAUGUAUAUUCUUGCAGUACAAUAAAUUAUUUUUAUGCUUGACAAUUUUGAAUUUUAAGUUAUGUGUCAAGAUUUGAAAAAGGGAAUAAAAGGAAAUAUUUGACCGCAAUAUUAUGUUUCGAAGAAGUAAUAUGCUAUUGAAAAAUUUAUUUUGUUCCUCAUAAUUCUGCCAACAAAAUUAUUUUAGACAAAAUAAUUUCGGUCUUCAGUUUAAAAUUAUGAUUUUAUCCUUACUUUUAAUUAUGGUUUAAUGCUUAUAUUAAAAAAAUGAAGUUUUGAUUGAAUUCUUACUAUUUCAUAUGUUUAUUUCUUUUAUUUGAACCUAGAUCUAGCAUAUUUGUGUAAAGUGUCAUUACGAAAUAAUUUAAUUAAAUAAAUAUAAAAGGUAAAAUAGAGCAUAUAUAGGAACUAAACAAAAUCAAAAUUAUGAAUUUUCUAAAAAUUGAACUCUAUAAUCGUGUGAAAAAAAAAUACAAAGACUAAAAUUAUUUAUCAAGAAUUAAAAAUUUAUUCAAAAUUACAAUUUAAGUCGUAACAUGCUGUGUUGUAAUAAAGUAAAACAGAAACCAAAAUUCAUCUUAAGGGAAGGAAGGCACAUAACCCCAGCCUGGUCAGGCACACACCAAGGUUGAAAAAUCGGAUUGGCCCAAACUUCUUAUGGCCCAAAAAAAUUACAAACUAAAAAUAGUAGAAUUACAAACUAAAUAAAAAAAAUUACAAACUAAUUGUCUAGGAUUUUGAAUUAAAGAAAACGAAAAAUUCAAAAAUAAAAAGUAUUAUUUAUAUUUCUAGGAUUGUUUAAAGUUUAGUGUUUUGUAACAUAUAUUUUAUAAUUUUCUCAAUAAAAAAGUCUAUAGUGACCGAGAGAGAUAAAUAUAAUUAGUUAAACUCUAUUAGUAGUAUUAUAUAUGAUUAUUUUGUAUUUAGUUUAUUUCUCAUAAAAUUUGUGUUAUUUUCGAAGAGCAAAUACUUGAAUUUUGUAUAUUAAGAUGUAUUUGGAAGUAUGGUUGGAAAACUUAUUUAUUUAUUUUUAUUUGUAAUCAAAUCGUCUUUAAUUUUAUUUUAUUUUUAUCUAUUUCUUUUUAACUUACAUUGUCUUCGACAAUCUUUCUAUGUUUCUAUCAAAUAUCUCACGCUUCCAACACGACACGCUCAUAGAAUCAUACAUAGGAUUAUCAAUACAGUUAAAUAUAAAAUAUUCAAUAAAAAUAAGUAAAAAACAUUUUUUUUCAUUUUCAUUUACUUAAACCGAAUCAUUUCUUUACCAACCAAACAGAAUCAGAAUCUGAUGUUGGCCCCCCAAAAUAUCCUACUAAAGGCCAAUGUCUCUAUCAUGCUCCAAUUCAAAAACAUUGGACGUUGUGAAGAAGAGUAGUACAUUUUUGUCACAACCACUACCCUGUUAGUGCACACUGGGCCCCACCACCAGCACAUGGUUUUCACAAACCCACUCUCACUCCUUUUACAUCAAACAGAACCUCACACUCCAUUUCCUACUAUAUUAAGAUAUCAUCAAUGCCAUAUUUUUUAUACCCUACCCUAAGAUUCUUUACUUAAACACCAUACAUAAUUAAAUAAUCAUAAUACUUACAAUUACUAAUAAAAAAAUUUAAACUUAUCAAAAAAUUAAAAUGUAUUCACAAACAUUAAGUUUCGUUUUAAUGUUAGUUUUUAUUUAAUUUAAUUAAUUUUAUUCAUUUAAAACUGUUACCAGAAAAAAAUAUGAUUUUUAAAAGGUAAUUAGACAUACUUCUUCAAUUACUUAAUUUAAAUUCAUAAAAAAAUUAUUUAACAAUUAAUUAAUUAUACAAUUUAUUUAAAAAUAUAAAAUAUUAGUCAAUUGUAAUUAGAAAUUAUUUUAAAUAAAUAAAAAUAUAAAAAAUAAAUAACCUAAGUGUGAAAUGGGGGACCAUAAACAUAUUUCUCUCUUUCUAUAAUAAACUAUGCUACUUAAGUAAAUAAUUAUUCUCUAGGAUUAUUAGAUCAAUAAUGUAGUAUUCACGGGUGAAAUACAUGGGAGAAGACCCCUUACACUGCACAAAAACAUUAACAAUCAAAACUAUUUGUUUGCAUUCAACUUUUUUAAAGCUUAGAAAAAAAGUGCAGAUAUUAUCAGGCUCUACACAUGUCCUUAUCAUUAACAACAUAGACAGCAAUUGUAGAUAUUAUUACACCUCUAAUUGAUAUCAAUAAUAUCUAUCCAGCUUUUAAAUAAACACCAUAAUUAUGAAAUAUUGAUUUGAAAUAUUUUUUUCAUUUAUACUGAGUUUACUAGCUCUGAGUGAAAAUUAUUAUAAUUUCUCAACCUGUUAAUUAGACAUUUCAUGUACUAUCAUUCCUUUUUUUAUAAAUAUAUAAUUAAAACUUUAUUAAUUAACGGUAUUUUUAAGUUUAAAUAUCUAUAUUUUAUUAAUUAACGGAAUUAACGGAUGAUAACGGCUGAUAACAGGUAGUCUGAUAAGUUUAAAAAACACUCGUUAGGAUAGGUUUAAAAUGAUUCUAUACCAUAAUACGAAUUGAACUUUAAGUCUAACUCAAUCCCAUAAAACCAACAUAUGAGGUGAGGUUUGCGCCCACUUAUAUACAAUAAAAUGUCAUAAUCUCUAAUCUAAUUGACGUGGAAUCUUCAACAUUUUCAUCCACACUUUGAACCAGGUUAAUAAAGUUGAUUUUAAUUAAAUUUAAUUUUGAGAUGAUAAAUAUAUAUUUGGCAUCACGUCACAAUGUGCAUAUAAUUAUCAGGAGUUUCAAUCAAAACAUAAUUGCUUCACUUUCUUAUGUUUUGUUUUGAAAUAAACAAUAUAGUGUAGAGUAAAGUCUAGUUGAUUAAUAAUAUAUGUUUGUAUGUUUUUUUAUUAUAAAAUUCUGCUGUUAAUAGUAAAAUUUAAUAUAGUUUGAAGUAUAAGUAAUAUAAGUUCUUUGUUGCAUUUAUUUUUCAUUGAUUUGAUUUGUCUUGUUUUGUGAAUUAUUUACUCUCACUCCUAAAAUGAUAAAUCUUUUUCCACAACCAUUUUACAAUACUUAUUUUCUAAUAUUAAAAGAUGAUAAAGAAGGCAGGUCUACGAAGAUAGAAUCACUCAUCUUCAUCUAUCAUAAAUAUACAAAUUGCUUAACUUCUAGUUAUAAUGAACUAGAAAAUAGCUUGUGUAAGUGAUAUAUUUAAAUAAUAUAUUAAUAUUUUAUUAUUAUAAUAAAAAUAAUAUAUAAAUAAAAAAUAAGUCAUCUAAGAUUUAUUUUAAAACAAUUAUCAUUUUUCUAUAAAGUAAUUUUUUUCCUUCUUCUAUUGUCUAAUUUUCUGAACUCAUCUGUCAUCAAACUCGUCUAGUUAGAUUCUUGACAGAAAAUAUUACAAUAUUAUCCAAUCAGAAUCUUAGUUAUGAGUAAGUUCAACUUUAUUCCUUUUUGCUUUGAGUCUUUAAGUUUUUAGGUUUUUUUUUAAAUGUUUUCCAUGUAGUAUUUUUAAUUUCAGGAAUAGUUACGGUUGAUACAGAGUCCUAGUGACAUAGUUAGAUAUUUGAUCAGAGACUAUGUGGUACAUGUUGAGCUAUCCUUGGACUUUAUAAGAUUGAAACUAUUUGUGAGCACAUCUACUUAUUCUAAAUGAAGGAAAACUAGUUUUAAAUUUCAAAUCUUCUUGCAUGCUUUUUUUUAAGUAAAGUAGUAUACUAAUUGAAAUUAAUUGUGAUAUUGUUGAUUUUGUUAUUUUUGUAUAGCAUAUGUUGAUUUGGAUUUGAAUAAGUAUUAAAGGUGUUGUUUGAGAUUAAAAGUGUUGAAUGGUAGUAUGAAAUUAUUUGAAUUGCAUUAUUAUUCAAUUAAGGUGUAAGAUUUGUAAGUAUUGGUUGUUUGAAUCUGGAUGAUUGAAAUUGAUUUAGAAAUGAUGAAUAUAUAGUUUGAUAUAAUAACUAUAUGGAGUACAUGUUCAACUUUGAGGAAAGAAAUGUUAAUUUGGUAUGUAUCUUUGAUAAAAUUUAAGUUGGAGUAUAAUUUUUGUUGAAAAUCUUGAAUUAUAGUAGUUUUAUAUAGUUUUUAAUUUGCAACUUUCGUUUAAGUGAAAGAUCAUUGCUCAAAUUAGAAUGGUGCAGUGAAUUUUGGGUUGUUCCCAAACUUAUUUUUCAAGCAAAAAUAUGAUGAAAAAUAGAGUGUUUUCGAAUCCAUUUUUUAUUAAAACGAAAAAAAUAUCGUAAAAAUAAAAAUGGGAUAAAAUUUAUAAGUGUUCUCAUAUUGAUUUUUUUUCUCAAACAACAAAAUUUCCGUUUAUACGAAUAUUUUUGCUUGAGCUAAGGAAAACUUAAAUUUAAGAUUGUGUAUAUUAUUAUUUAUUGUUUUUAAUUAAAUUUUAUGUGAAUUUUAAUUAUAUAUUUACAUAACCUGAAAUAAUAUUUAUUUUAUUUUUCAUAAGUCUAAAAUUUAAAUAAUACUUUUAUCAUAAAUAAUUUUUUUAUUUUUAAAAUAUUUUCUUUCUUUUAAAAAAUUGCAAAAAAAAGGAAAAGCAGGUCAGGAACCAAUUUUAAUUUUAUCAAAAAUCAUUAUUCACACUUGAUAAUUCGGUUCUUCUCAAACCCAAUUAUAAUCUUGUACAAUAACCAUGCUUAGUUUAAAAAAUAAAAUGUGCAAAAUAAGUAUUUGGUUUAUUUUGGUAAAAAAAUCCAAAAUCCAAAAUACAGAGUAAAAGAUACCAACAUGAUCCUAGAGAUACUGAAUCUGUAGUUUUUAAUUACAGACAUUAUUAACAUGGAAAGUAAACAAGUUGUACGGACAAAUGAUUGAUUAAACCUAAUUUCUACCAUGCUUUUGCUCUCAUAUCACAUUCUACCUUCGCAGGAGCAAUACCUUGUUACCAUUGCAGGAAGAAAGAAAGGCCAUGGACCAGGGAACCCAUCCUACACCAGCAGCAGCGACUGAAUCUUACUAUGAUGUACCAGAUGGAGUGGAUAUUCUGGGAAGAUACGAUGAAGAGUUUGCGAAAAUCCUGACAAAAGAUGCUUUGAAAUUUGUUGCUGACCUGCAACGUGAGUUCAGGAGCGAUAUCAAGUAUGCACUAGAGAGGAGAAAAGAGGCCAAGAAGAGGUACAAUGAAGGGGCUCUUCCGGGGUUUGAUCCUGCCACUAGCCACAUAAGAGAAGAGGAAUGGGUAUGUGCACCUGUUCCACCAGCUGCUGCAGAUAGGAAAGUGGAGAUCACUGGCCCUGUUGAUAGAAAAAUGGUCAUCAAUGCUCUCAACUCUGAAGCUAAAGUCUUUAUGGUUAGUACAACUACACUCUUCACUACUAUGCCUUUCAUUUCACCUAAAGUUGUUAAACCAUAAUUGAGUUGAGAACUUGUACAUAUGAAAGAACACUAUAAAAAACUUCUGCUGGUUGUGGGUUUUUAUUUUUAAUGGUACCAAUUUGAUUGAGAUGGUUAGAACUUAAAAGAUUAAAAUUCUGCACUGAGAAUAAAGAAGUAGAACUGAGAGUGUGAUGAAGUCUUCUCCUUUUUUUAAUUGCACAAGGGUUGAUUGAAUUUGGUUUAUCCUGGAAUCAUAGCACUGAAAGUUGUUGAUGUUUUUCUCAUUUCUAAGGCUGAUUUUGAAGAUGCACUGUCACCCAGCUGGGAAAAUCUUAUCAGUGGCCAAGUGAACUUGAAGGAUGCUUUGGAUGGGACCAUAAGUUUCCAUGACAAAGUAAGAAACAGGGUUUACAAGCUCAAUCAACAGACAGCAAAGCUUUUUGUGCGACCAAGAGGUUGGCACCUCCCCGAAGCACAUAUUCUGAUUGACGGUGAACCUGCAGCUGGUUGCCUGGUUGAUUUUGGCUUCUACUUCUACCACAACCACUCAGCAUUUCGACGCACUCAAGGUGCUGGUUUUGGCCCCUUCUUUUAUCUUCCCAAAAUGGAGCAUUCAAGGUAAGCAAGCACUGUGCUAUGCAGUCAUAAUACAAGAGCCGAAUAACAAAGCUAUUUCUGUUAGUAAUUUCAUAAGUUUUCAGCUUCAGUGGAAACUAGAAUACGGUUUUAGUAUGAUACACGCAAGAACAAAAUUUGAAAGCAAUUAUUUUAGUUGGUGUUAUUUUGUAAUUAAAAUUAAAGUUUCAUUUCGAUUGUCGACACAAUAAAGGCAUUCAUGAAACAUCAGCAACAAGACAAAUUUCUAGUUCUGAUCGAAGAAAAACAGCAAAAGAACUUAUUCAUGUGGAAGAACGAAACGAUUUAAUAGUCCUAAAACGUGUUCAAAACUCAAUGAAAUCUCUUAUGCAUGAUCUAGCGUGACCAAGGAGAUUACAACUAUUAUAUGGAGCUCAAAUAUCGAGGUCUACCCAUACUUAAUUGGAUGGUUUAGCAGGACCAGCAUUUAUGGAACUCUGUAUAAUGGAUUGUAAUAUAACAACCUUAUGAUUGACAGGGAAGCUAAGAUAUGGAACAGCGUAUUUGAGAAGGCUGAGAAUGUAGCUGGCAUCGAAAGAGGAAGCAUAAGGGCGACGGUUCUGAUAGAAACACUUCCUGCAGUGUUUCAAAUGAAUGAAAUUCUGUAUGAGCUGAAGGAGCACUCGGUGGGUCUGAACUGUGGGCGAUGGGAUUACAUUUUCAGUUAUGUGAAGAC